AUUGUUUCCUUGUAGAGUUACAGACUCUAUCAGCCUUCCUUUUUGCCUUAUAGAGUUACAGGCUCUGACAAAUUUUCAUCUUGCCUUAUAGAGUUACAAACUCUUACAAAACCCUUUUCUUUCUGUUUUCCUUAUAGAGUUAUAGACUCUGACAAACCUUCAUGCAUUGCCUUGUAGAGUUACAGACUCUGGCAACCUUUU
rnacentral:lncRNA from 1 species